AAGUUCUAUUUAUAUUGGACUAAAAUUAAUAACUCUUAUGAAUCCAGAGGACAAAUAGGAAGUAGACACAGAAAACCAGUGAUGAAUCCCUGAUGCUGUACUUUGAAAACCUUAGGGUAUAAACACUGAAGUCCCAGAGAAAAAUCUGAGAUGGUUGCUCUGGUCCUUACUUUGAGUGUCACUUCCUGGCUCCAAUGCCGAUCCCUCAGUCUGCUGGCACAGAUCCUUCAUCCCACCGGCACAGACUUUCUAGCUUCCAUCACUGAUAUUUGGGCCUCCCCGGUGCAGGAAUGCUGUGACAGUUAA
rnacentral:lncRNA from 1 species